UACAGAGGGUGCGAGCGUUAUUCGGAAUUACUGGGCGUAAAGCGCACGUAGUCGGCUUUGCAAGUCGGGUGUGAAAUCCCCGGGCUCAACCUGGGAACUGCAUCCGAGACUGCAUUGCUAGAGUAUGGGAGAGGGAAGCGGAAUUUCUGGUGUAGCGGUGAAAUGCGUAGAUAUCAGAAGGAACAUCAGUGGCGAAGGCGGCUUCCUGGACCAAUACUGACGAUCAGGUGCGAAAGCGUGGGGAGCAAACAGG
rnacentral:rRNA from 1 species